AGAAUCCCAAAAAACAGUGCUGUUUACAGAUUUCUUCUAGAGAUGGACAAUGCUGGGAAGAGUCAUUAUGUUACAAUCUCCUCCCAUCAAUCUGCAACACCCUCCAGCGAUUGCUGAACAGACACAGAGGCAUGCACUACCUUCAAACAAACACUUGGUAUAUGUGACAAGUGAAACUGAAGCUGAAGAAGAGGAGUGAAUGAUUGUUAAUGAGUAUCUUAUUAUUAUGCUGAGCAAAUAAAGUUAAGUAAUAAAUUAAGUAAAAUUAACAGGCUGAAGCAUUGAAACAA